AUACGGAGGGUGCAAGCGUUGCUCGGAAUCACUGGGCGUAAAGCGUACGCAGGCGGCGCGUUAAGUCGGGUGUGAAAGCCCGGGGCUCAACCCCGGAAUUGCAUUCGAUACUGGCGUGCUCGAGUGCGGGAGAGGGAAGCGGAAUUCCUGGUGUAGAGGUGAAAUUCGUAGAUAUCAGGAGGAACACCAGUGGCGAAAGCGGCUUCCUGGCCCGAUACUGACGCUCAUGUACGAAAGCGUGGGGAGCAAACAGGAUUAGAUACCCUGGUAGUCCACGCCGUAAACGAUGAGUGCUAGCUGCCGGGAAUGUUUACCGUCUCGGUGGCGAAGCCAACGCAUUAAGCACUCCGCCUGGGAAGUACGGCCGCAAGGCUAAA
rnacentral:rRNA from 1 species